CACGUAGGCGGUUUGGUAAGUCGAAUGUGAAAUCUCACGGCUCAACCGUGAAACUGCGUUCGAAACUACCUGACUUGAGUACUGGAGAGGUAUGCGGAAUUCCUGGUGUAGCGGUGGAAUGCGUGGAUAUCAGGAAGAACACCGGUGGCGAAGGCGGCAUACUGGCCAAGUACUGACGCUCAGGUGCGAAAGCGUGGGGAGCAAACG
rnacentral:rRNA from 1 species